AUGUUAUUGAAGCUGAAGGCGGUUUACUCUUUAACAGAGCAGUUAUACUCUGGCACUCUCUGCGGUCUUGUGGACGGAGCCAUCGUGGCUCUUGGCCGGGCCAAAGCAUGGCAAUCUGAGCUUGGCCCAGAGGAAAUAGCCACCGGGUGCCCGAAAUUCAAGGAUGACCAGUCAACCUUUGAAGAAAAAGGCUUCAAUCAAUGCGUCCGAGAGAUGCGGCACGUGGCUUGCAAGCUCAUUGAAGAGCUAAACUUAAACGAGUACAUGCGGGCUUAUGACAACAACAACCAAAAGAUUAAGCCGCCAGCUCCAUGA
rnacentral:rRNA from 1 species